GAUGAACGCUGGCGGCGUGCCUAAUACAUGCAAGUCGAGCGAACAGACGAGGAGCUUGCUCCUCUGACGUUAGCGGCGGACGGGUGAGUAACACGUGGAUAACCUACCUAUAAGACUGGGAUAACUUCGGGAAACCGGAGCUAAUACCGGAUAAUAUAUUGAACCGCAUGGUUCAAUAGUGAAAGGCGGUUUUGCUGUUACUUAUAGAUGGAUCCGCGCCGCAUUAGCUAGUUGGGAAGGUAACGGCUUACCAAGGCAACGAUGCGUAGCCGACCUGAGAGGGUGAUCGGCCACACUGGAACUGAGACACGGUCCAGACUCCUACGGGAGGCAGCAGUAGGGAAUCUUCCGCAAUGGGCGAAAGCCUGACGGAGCAACGCCGCGUGAGUGAUGAAGGUCUUCGGAUCGUAAAACUCUGUUAUUAGGGAAGAACAAAUGUGUAAGUAACUAUGCACGUCUUGACGGUACCUAAUCAGAAAGCCACGGCUAACUACGUG
rnacentral:rRNA from 1 species